UUUACGGUUUCUAUUCAACAGC
rnacentral:siRNA from 1 species